AGGGUUUAUUACGUAUUAGUUAGAUAUUAAGCUGCUGCCACUUUAAGAAUGUACCGGAAACGAAUGCUCAUAACUCGUGUUAAUGUCUGUGGCCGCGCACACGCAAGUGACAGGUUUAUUUUUGUGUAGAAGUAGACUUUCGAAGUGUGCGAUGAUAUCCCUGUAUUUAGUAAGACCACUUCGCAGCUGUAGCAGCGUCUGGCGACAUCGAGCAUUAUCAGAAUUAGUUUGUAAAUUCGCAGUUGGGAACUGUCAAACAUCACGUCUAUGGUUUUCCACCAUAUCCCACGGCCUCGUCAGAAAUAUGGACGAAAUACUGCGAAAGACUGUUGCACCUUUACCCUCAUAUGAGACCAGAGACAAGUUCCCACCACCCCCGGAAUCACAUUCUGUGGAAUUUAUGAAUUUCUACCGAAGUUUAGAGCCGGAACAGAGAGUAGAGUUUUUGGAAAGACUGUCAGAAGAAUAUGGAGUGGACCACAAAAGCGUUUCAGAGCUGGCAGCGAAACUGCUUGAGACGCAGCUAAGGGACGUAGCAACUAUACUACAAGUGGAGGACCGGUUACGUUACAGUCUGACUCCCCGGUACCGACAAUUACUAAGUCACAUAAGUAGGAUCGGGGGUGGGGUGAAGUUUUUAGUCGACUUCCGAGCAGAUGUGAUCCAAAUAACAUCGUCCAAAGCUAGCGACAGUCCACAUUUGAGGGACUUGAAUGGCGCACUGAAGGGGCUUCUGUCAGAGUGGUUCUCCGUCGGACUCCUGAAGCUGGAGAGGAUCACGUGGCAGUCACCGUGUGCGCUCCUGCAGAAGAUCAGCCAGUAUGAGGCCGUGCAUCCGGUGCGUAACUGGAUGGACAUUCAGCGCAGGGUAGGGCCUUACCGCCGCUGCUACGCCUUCACCCACGCCUCCAUGCCCGGGGAGCCUCUGGUGGUGCUGCACGUGGCCCUCACGGAGGAGAUCUCCAACAACAUCCAGUCUAUAGUGCGAGAUUUGGCCACGGUGGAUGCGGAGGAGGACGCGAGUAAGAUCCAUGCCGCCAUCUUCUACUCCAUCUCCUCCACCCAGCCUGGCCUGCAGGGCGUGGAGCUGGGCAACUACCUCAUCAAGAGGGUGGUGCGCGAGCUACAGAGUGAGUUCCCACACAUGUCCCAGUUCUCCAGUCUGUCUCCCAUCCCGGGCUUCACGUCCUGGCUGCAGGGCACGCUGGGUCCCAGCCGUAAGGUGGAGGGCCGAGGCGGCGCCGGCGUCACCGAGCUGCUGUCGGAGUGUGAGUGGCGCGAGGUGGAGGAGGUGGCCGGCGUGGGUCCCGGACCCCCCGCGAUGGAGGCCCUGCGUCGGCUGCUGGCGACCGGCGACUGGUCGCGCUCGGAGCGGCUGACCCGCGCCCUGGAGCCGGCGCUGAUGCGACUCUGCGCCUGGUACCUGUACGGCGAGAAGCGUCGCGGCUACGCCAUCAACCCUGUGGCCAACUUCCACCUGCAGAAUGGCGCCACCAUGUGGCGGCUGAACUGGCAGGCCGACGCCAGCCCGCGCGGCUUAGCCAACUCCUGUGGCAUCAUGGUGAACUACCGCUACUUCCUGUCAGAGACAGCAGCCAACAGCGCCACCUACCUGCAGAACAAAACGGUGUCGGCCUCGGAUCAGGUGCUUGCAUUGGUGGCACAGUUCCAGCAGAACAGCAAACUCUGAGCAAUGCUGAGAAAUGCACAUGCGCGCGCAUGCACACACACACACACACACACACACACACACACACACACACACACACACACACACACACAGAUUUGUACACCAAACACUGAGAUUCGAAUACAUAUCCAUAGACACACAUACACACACAUACCCCAGACCCAUAUCACACUCCAUAGACACACAUAUCCAUACACACACAGAAAAAUAUGCAGACACAGAGUGUCAAACACAUUCACAUACAAUUAAUCUAAUUGCACUGUUGGUUUAUAGAUGACGUACGCCUCUCUGAAUUGUGCCAUACACUGCCUCCCUCACGGGAGUGAGUGUUGACUGACGUUAGGACUGUGCCCAUCUCCCCUGGGUGUUUGUGUUCUGUGAUGUGAAGGCUGCUAUUGCUCCGCUUCCUAACGCACUCAGUGAAACGAGGCUGCUCUGGUUUUCUUGUUUUGUUUUGUUCUUGCCUCGCACCCUAGGCAGCCUCUUCUCAAAGUAAGACACGGGAUUUCAACUGCUGUCAGAGCCCCACUCACCCAGUGUAUAGGAUGAAGCAGACCAUGCAUCACAUCCCAUCAACCUUUGCAUCCUCGUUUGCAGGAUGCCAGAGGAGAUAAUAAGGAAAGAAAAAUAAUGCUCAACAAGUUAAGAAGUGCCGCUCAGCAGAACACUGCGCUGCUUGCCGCUUGAUGGAUAUAGGCAGCCCUGCCUUAAAGUGCAGUAAUAACAUUUGGGAAAAGUCAAGUGAAUCGAGGUGCCUGGUGUCCUAGAAACUAAUGAGGAUGUCAGGAGCCAAAGAGUGGGGGUGGAGGUGUUGGAAGAGACGCUCGCCCUUGAGAGGGGACCUGUCCCCAGCUGAGAGUGAACGCAGAGGAUUGUGGGAAAAUGGGAUCUCACCUAGCACAGGGUUGUGCAGCUGUUAGAUCAUAUCAGACGUUGUCGUAUAGUCUCAAAACUAUCAAAACAUCAAAGUGUUUUAAGUCAAAGUUAAGCCCACUUUUUGUUUUCUGUGCGCAUGAUUAUCCUCAUAUCAAUAUUUAAAAAUAACAUAGAUGCUUCAUUUAUACAGACCUGACAUCUAUCAAUAAUUACAAACUUGAUUUUUAAAUAUUAUAUUAAUGACAAGCAGGUUUUGAAACAUUAAGUUUAUAUCAUAAAACAAAACACUGCUUACAAAAGAAUGAUGAGAAUAAACACACACCGCAAGUGUUAUAACCAAAUGUAUUAACUACACCUCAGAGUGAUCCACAAUCUGUGCAAUGAUGCACACCCUGGAAACACACACAUGGAAACAUGCACAUGGUGUUUGCACCCACUG